AAAUGAAUCUGGUCGAUUCUGCCAGUAGUCAUAUGCUUGUCUCAAAGAUUAAGCCAUGCAUGUGUAAGUAUAAACAAAUUAUAUUGUGAAACUGCGAAUGGCUCAUUAAAUCAGUUAUAAUUUAAUUGAUAAUGACGUUUACUAUAUGGAUAGCCGUAGUAAUUCUAGAGCUAAUACAUGCGUAAAGGUCAAACUCUGGUAAGGGAAUGAUUGUAUUUAUUAGAUCGAAGACCAAAUGCCUUUGAAUAAAAGGGGAAUAAGGUGAAUCAUAAUAAGAAAGUCGAAUCAGUUAAUAAUUUUUUUUUAUAGGAAAAUGAAACGAUGUGUCAUUGAAAUUUCUGACCUAUCAACUUGUGAUGGUAGGAUAGAGGCCUAGGAUGGUUUUGACGGGUAACGGGGAAUUAGGGUUCGAUUCCGGAGAGGGAGCCUGAGAAACGGCUACCACUUCUAAGGAAGGCAGCAGGCGCGCAAAUUACCCAAUCCCAAUAAGAGUGGGGAGGUAGUGACAAAAAAUACUGAUUCUUUGCAUAAUAGUGUGAUGAAAUUGGAAUGGUUGGGAUAUAACAGAUCGUGAGAGAAACAAUUAGAGGGCAAGUCUGGUGCCAGCAGCCGCGGUAAUUCCAGCUCUAAUAGUGUAUACUAAAAUUGCUGCAGUUAAAAAGCUCGUAGUUGGAUUUGUGAUACUAGAUUUUUAUAUUAGUUUUAGUUAGAAUUCAUUUGAAGAAUGGAUUUUAAUGAUAAGAAAGUGAUAGAAAUGUAGAAUCAAAAUUUAUUUUCGAAGGGGUAUAUUAGACUUUGUUGUUGUAAUGUAUCUACUCGGAGAGUUUACUUUGAAGAAAAUGGAGUGUUCAAAGCAGGUAAAAAAGAAAUAAUGCAACUGAACAGAUUAGCAUGGAAUAAUAAAAUAGGACACGAAGUUUCUAAAUUAAUGUUAAAAGUGAGUUUGGAAAGGCUAUAAUCUUGGAAAAAGAAGAUAGUUUUUUAUUUUGUUGGUCGAAUAAGGAAGUGUAAUGAUUAAUAGGGACAGUUGGGGACAUUGGUAUUGCAUCGUCAGAGGUGAAAUUCUUGGAUUGAUGCAAGACGAACGAGUGCGAAAGCAUUUGUCAAGGAUGUUUUCAUUAAUCAAGAACGAAAGUUAGGGGAUCGAAGGCGAUCAGAAACCGCCCUAGUCUUAACUAUAAACUAUGCCAACUAGGGAUUUUCGGGUAUAAUUAAAAAAAAAAGGAAAUUAUUUAAUAAUCUUUAAUUUUUUUUUUCUUUUAUUUUUAUUAAUAAAAGAAAGGAAAAGGAUUUUAAAUGAUUUUUUUAUUUUUUUUAAGAAAAAGCUAGAUUUAAGUGAGGAAUAAUAACCUCAGUUAAAUUGCCUCGGGAGAACCAGUGGAGAAAUCAUAAGUCUUUGGGUUCUGGGGGGAGUAUGGUCACAAGGCUGAAACUUAAAGAAAUUGACGGAAGGGCACCACCAGGUGUGGAGCCUGCGGCUUAAUUUGACUCAACACGGGGAAACUUACCAGGUCCAGACAGCGGAAGGAUUGACAGAUUGAUAGUUUUUUCUUGAUUCGGUGGGUGGUGGUGCAUGGUCGUUCUUAGUUGGUGGAGCGAUUUGUCUGCUUAAUUGCGAUAACGAACGAGACCUCAACCUGCUAAAUAAGUUUUUCAUUAGUUAUAUGCUAGUGGUUUUAUUUAAAUAAACUGCUUAGAGGGACAAGCACUAUUGAAGUGGGGGAAGGAUGAGGCAAUAACAGGUCUGUGAUGCCCUUAGAUGUCCUGGGCCGCACGCGCGCUACACUGAUUAAAUCAACAAGGUGAGAUAUAAGAAAUCCUUUGGGAAGACUUUUCUCCUUAUCCGAAAGGAUUGGGUAAUCUUUUUAAUUUUAAUCGUGCUGGGGAUUGAUUUUUGUAAUUAUGGAUCAUGAACUAGGAAUACCUAGUAAGUGCAAUUCAUGAGAUUGCGCUGAUUACGUCCCUGCCCUUUGUACACACCGCCCGUCGCUCCUACCGAUUGAAUGAUCAGAUGAAAUGUUCGGAUUGUGUUUUGAAGCGAUUUAAAAAGUUUUUGAAUACAAGAAGAGGAGUGAAUCUUAUUAUUUAGAGGAAGGAGAAGUCGUAACAAGGUUUCCGUAGGUGAACCUGCGGAAGGAUCAUUUUUGAA
rnacentral:rRNA from 1 species